rnacentral:rRNA from 1 species
ACGAACGCUGGCGGCGUGCCUAAUACAUGCAAGUAGAACGCUGAAGAGAGGAGCUUGCUCUUCUUGGAUGAGUUGCGAACGGGUGAGUAACGCGUAGGUAACCUGCCUUGUAGCGGGGGAUAACUAUUGGAAACGAUAGCUAAUACCGCAUAACAAUGGAUGACACAUGUCAUUUAUUUGAAAGGGGCAAUUGCUCCACUACAAGAUGGACCUGCGUUGUAUUAGCUAGUAGGUGAGGUAAUGGCUCACCUAGGCGACGAUACAUAGCCGACCUGCGAGGGUGAUCGGCCACACUGGGACUGAGACACGGCCCAGACUCCUACGGGAGGCAGCAGUAGGGAAUCUUCGGCAAUGGGGGCAACCCUGACCGAGCAACGCCGCGUGAGUGAAGAAGGUUUUCGGAUCGUAAAGCUCUGUUGUAAGUCAAGAACGGGUGUGAGAGUGGAAAGUUCACACUGUGACGGUAGCUUACCAGAAAGGGACGGCUAACUACGUG